rnacentral:rRNA from 1 species
AGGAUCAGCCAUAGCCGAAUUCCGCUGUCCUCGACGGCAGCUGGAAGUUGUGGCGUUUGGAACUGCCUAUUGUAACCGAUCGGUCGGGCUACGCGACUCCUCUAGAUUGUGGUUUGCCCAUAGCAGGUGAAAGGCCUAUUGCCGUAGCCUCGUGUUGAAGACCGGCGGUGAUGGUAGUCCUUAGAGUCGGGUUGUUUGGGAUUGCAGCCCGAAUUAGGUGGUUAAACUCCACCUAAGGCUAAAUACGAUCGCGAGUCCGAUAGCGCACAAGUACCGUGAGGGACAGUUGAAAAGAACUUUGAAGAGAGAGUUCAAAGUACGUGAAACCGUUCAGAGGUAAACGGGUAGAAAGUCGAAUUGAAGGCUGACAAUCAAGCCGUUGGCUGGCCUGAGUUUGGCUGGUAGCACGUUAAAGGCUUCCAGUUUUCUCUUCGGUUGGCUAUGGUUGUAUUUGUUGGUCUUGGAUCGCCGCAACGGCAGUGUCCGACCGCUGGCAUCGGUUCCUCUGGUCGAUUGGGAUCCGUUUGGGUCUUUCAGUCGGCACACGUUCUGGUGUCUCGCGUACUUGGCACAGUCGUUUGUACAGCGUUGUAAGCGUUCCAUCUGGCUCACGUUCGUUUCGUAUCGGUGGUCUGAUCUUAAACAAGUUCACCUGCUGACAUCGGGGCGGCGUGGGUUGGUUUAACGACGGAGCAAAUUUCGCAUUUGCGGCGUUUGACUACGAAUUAUCUACCUGACCCGUCUUGAAACACGGACCAAGGAGUCUAACCUGUGCGCGAGCCAUUGAGAUUACUAAACUCAAAGGCGUAGUGAAAGCAAUUUCGGUGAGAUCUGUCGUUUUUUCGUUAAGAUCAACGGCGGCGCAUCAUCGUCACGCCGCGUUACGGCUUCGGCUGUUGCGGCGCAGAUUGAGCGCACAAGUUGGGACCCGAAAGAUGGUGAACUAUGCGAGGCGAGGUCGAAGCCAGAGGAAACUCUGGUGGAGGACUGUAGCGGUUCUAACGUGCAAAUUGAUCGUCGCAGCUUCGUAUAGGGGCGAAAGACUAAUCGAACCAUCUAGUAGCUGGUUCCCUCCGAAGUUUCCCUCAGGAUAGCUGGCACUUCGGAUAGCAGUUUUGUCCGGUAAAGCGAAUGACUAGAGGCCUUGGGGACAUAACGACCUCAACCUAUUCUCAAACUUUGAAUGGGCAAGAAGAGUGACUCACUUAAUUGGAGUCUUCUCAUUUUGAAUGCUUGAGUGCCAAGUGGGCCAUUUUUGGUAAGCAGAACUGGCGCUGUGGGAUGAACCAAACGUUAAGCUAAGGUGCCAAAUGCUAACGCUCAUCCGAUCCCAUUAAAGGUGUUGGUUGAUAGAGACAGCAGGACGGUGGCCAUGGAAGUCGGAACCCGCCAAGGAGUGUGUAACAACUCACCUGCCGAAUCAACCAGUCCUGAAAAUGGAUGGCGCUGAAGCGUUGUGAACCUAUGCUUAACCGGCAUGGCAACAUUUUCUAAUCACGCUAUGCCGAGUAGGAGGGUCGCUGUGGUAUGCGUUGAAGCUUUGGGCGAGGGCCCGAGUCGAGCUUCCACAGGUGCAGAUCUUGGUGGUAGUAGCAAAUAUUCAAACGAGAACUUUGAAGGCCGAAGUGGAGAAGGGUUCCAUGUGAACAGCAUUUGAACAUGGGUCAGUCGGUCCUAAGCGAUAGGCAAAUGCCGUUCUGAAAGCAGGCUUUAUUAUUAUCGUUUAUAUAAUUUUAAAAUGCCUGAUUUUGGUCGAAAGGGAAUCGGGUUAAUAUUCCCGAACCUGGACGCGGAGAUGGAUGCGUAGGCAACUACGUAUCAGUGCGGUAACGCAAACGAUCUCGGAUUCGUCGGCGGGAGUCCUGGGAAGAGUUCUCUCUUCUUUGUAAGGGGCUGAAUCCCUGGAAUCGACUUAGUCGGAGAUAGGGAUAUUGCAAGUUCCCGUAAAGCACCACACUUCUUGUGGUGUCCGGUGCACGACUGUCGACACUUAAAACUCCGAGCUAGACGUUCAUAAUGUUCGCGCCAGGCCGUACCCAUAUCCGCAGCAGGUCUCCAA